rnacentral:rRNA from 1 species
CCGCUGAACUUAAGCAUAUCAAUAAGCGGAGGAAAAGAAACUAACAAGGAUUCCCCUAGUAACGGCGAGUGAAGCGGGAAGAGCUCAAGCUUAAAAUCUCCGUGCAAGUUUUGCGCGGCGAAUUGUAGUCUAUAGAGGUGUGGUCAGCGUGAGCACUUGGGGCAAGUUCCUUGGAAGAGGACAGCAUGGAGGGUGAUACUCCCGUUCAUCCCUGAGUGGCUCGUG